CACACAGUGAGAUAGGUCAAUGCCUAUCUUUUUAAUUCUCCUCUCUCUGUCCUUCCUUCCUGACAUCAUCGGGUUAUUGCAGUCCUGGGAAGCCGAGCGUGUGAGCUUCCCCAGGUCAUUAAGGACCGUCGUGAAAAGAGUCUCGGCAGGCCGGAGAUAAACCAGCCAGCAAACGCCGUAAGCUCCCAAUAAAGACGGCUCUGUGGAGGGCCAAGCUGGACUCUGAGCCCGGGAUUAAAGACCGUCUGAAAGGAAGAAAAAGUCAAUAGAACCGCACCAAAAUAUGAAGUGAAAGAGGUGCGAGGCGACAGGGGGGCGGCGGAGAUGAAUGGGGAACUUAUCAGCAUUCGGAGUGCAUGCGAGAGUUCUCUCAACGGGACGAUGGUCUGUGAGGAUGCAUCUUCAGUCUUCACGCUGGAGUAAUGCCAAUGGCGUACUUCACACUGGAGAUGCCAGUGUCAGGACUCAAGGGGGUGCUAGAGUUUCCUUCAAAUGUCUGUAUCUUUACACCAGCCAAAAAAGCUGAUUCCAGACCAGCGCUAUUGGGCGACGUGGACUGCAGGAGAAUCCAGCAGCUGCUGACCAGAGUGAAACCUGAGACGUCAGACGUAUUGAGAGACGAGACGUCAGAGUUUAUAUCCUGCUGUGUGAGGACGCCUGUAGUCUGUCCAGCGUUUUCACAUUCAUCUCAACUUCUGCUCAUAUACCAAUGCUUUGUAACCUGAAUAUUUUGUAAGUCAUAUCAGAUAUCAUCUCAAAACAUCAGAAUUCUCUUAUGUGAGUUUAUAUCUUGGAACAUGUUGCAGCGUUGCCAAAAAAUGUUGCUCCCUUUAUUGGUCCAAUUGUCAAGUUUGUUGACAUGAAUAAAGAAAAGAUGAAGAAACCUCGGUACGCUUACUCGACCCCAUCAGUAUCCAUUACUCUUUUUUAACCCUUAUGCAAAUUAACCAUGGUUUUACUACAAUUAAAACACGGUCACUGUAGGUAACCACAAAAUAAUCAUUGUAUUGACAACCAUGGUUAGUGUAGUAAAACUAUGGUUUUGCUAAAAGUAAUCAAUAUACACCAAACAACUAUGGUUACUACAAUUUUCAAAAAAAAAAAAAAAAACAUGUAAGAUUUUUGUAAGAUUUAAUUUUUGUGAUUGUGUGAAGGAUUGUGGUGAUGUUUAAAACUUAUGUUUCCAGGCCUCUUGGAUCCACAGGUUAUCUGUAUUGGCAGACAAUGAGGUUAAACUUCUCUACUAGCUUUAUGUGGCCAUGUACGAGUGCCUUGAAGCUUGUAAACUAACUGGAGAAGUUCACAUAGAGUUUACACAGUGAGUUCCUGACACAGCUAACUCUUGCAGAUGUUUUAGUGUCAACGGGUCUCUUGACAAGCCAUUACCUGUCACAACAAAUAGGCACCGAUACAAAGGCGAUCGUGUGUGUUUAUUUAGCCAUCGGUUUAAGUUAUUCAGCGCUCAAUCAGAGUAAACAUGACCAGGUCAAAAUAAGACUGAUGAAAGUUGACGUGUGUCAUUUUGUGGUAGUGGCACCCAACGAGAUCACACGCUUCACCUUGUGUCUUUAAGAAGAUGGAUUGUCAUCAUGUUAGAUGUUCAUGAAGCAAUCUCAUCCUUCUUACUCUUCUCAAAGCCUCAGUCAUUCCAGCAUCAGGUAGACCGGAUGCUGAGGGGCCACAUGGACCGUGACAACACCCAUCCAAAGGGUCCUGCUGAAGGCUGCAGAGAGGUCACUGAGAAGGUCAUCACUGGUGUCAAAGGUCAGAUGAUCGGAAGCUUGUGCGAGCCAUAACAUGAAGAUCAAUGUGUGAUUUUAUACAUUUUCUUUCAUGCAUUGAAUAGAGGCUUUAUUUACUAGUUAAUUUAGUCUUAUCAGUAGGUGAAGAAUGUACUAUAGGAUGGAUACAUUUAUUUAU